CUGAAUCUGGGCGCACCUCGAUUCUCGUCGUUCACUCCUUCCUCCAAAAGAUUUGACCGAGAUCAUUCGAGAAUGAUAUCAAUGCUCGAUCAACUGAUCUCAUCUCAUUCGAGAAUAAUAUCAAUAUUCGAUCAAUUAAUUUAAUUUCCUUGCAUUUGUCCAAGCAAUGGAUCUGUUCCUAUGCUUGUCGCUUAUACGCGCUUUCACUCGACCCUCGUGCUUAUGCUCCCC
rnacentral:lncRNA from 1 species